AUUUAAAUCUUCCACCACUCUUUGAUGAUUCACUUUUGCAGCGCAAACAAGAAGUGCACUUCCUCCUAUUUUAACCAAAGCAUUGGAGGAACAGAUUACCCUUCUUGCAACUGAAGAAAUGCAUCCAUAGGCACAAGCAAUAGAAUCGCCAAGAACAGCGGGCUGAGCUUGGCAGAGUCUUGACAAUAUCUCAAUAGCUUUGUCUUGCAAAAAAUUACCCUCCUUGCAAUUGAAGAAAUGCAUCCAUAGGCACAAGCAAUAGCAUCGCCAAGGACAGUGGGCUGAGCUUGGCAGAGUCUUGACAAUAUCUCAAUAGCUUUGUCUUGCAAAACUGGUGAGGCAUCAGCAAUGCAUGAAACUACUGGAAUUAUGCUAUUAGGGUAUUCAGCUAGAACUGCCCAUGCAGGUUUGAUACCACUAGCUCCUUCCAGCCUUAAAAGGAAACAAAGUGCAUCUAGAGCUUCUGAUAUAGCAAGAGAGUCACUGCCAGUUGAUUCUAGGAAAGAAACUAAUGCAAGAACUGUUACACAACGGUUAACACAAUCAGUUAAGGCAGGAUUAACCUGAC
rnacentral:lncRNA from 1 species